UGAGGAAUCUUCCACAAUGGGGGCAACCCUGAUGGAGCAACGCCGCGUGCAGGAUGAAGGCCUUCGGGUCGUAAACUGCUUUUAUAAGUGAUGAAUAUGACAGUAGCUUAUGAAUAAGGAUCGGCUAACUACGUGCCAGCAGCCGCGGUCAUACGUAGGAUCCGAGCGUUAUCCGGAGUGACUGGGCGUAAAGAGUUGCGUAGGUGGUUUAAUAAGUGAAUAGUGAAAUCUGGUGGCUCAACCAUUCAGACCGUUAUUCAAACUGUUAAACUCGAGAACAGCAGAGGUAACUGGAAUUUCUUGUGUAGGAGUGAAAUCCGUAGAUAUAAGAAGGAACACCAAUGGCGUAGGCAGGUUACUGGGCUGUUUCUGACACUGAGGCACGAAAGCGUGGGGAGCGAACC
rnacentral:rRNA from 1 species